UUUUCAGUAAAGGGCUCAACAGUGGGCUCCAUUUUACUUGCAUAUGCGAGUAAAAAUUAUGGCGUGUGAGUGCAAAAAAAUAUUUAGGCGCACUGGUGUGAAUGACUUCUAACCAUGUUCAUGUUUGUCUACAGA